GACGAACGCUGGCGGCGUGCCUAAUACAUGCAAGUCGAGCGAAGUUUUUCUGGUGCUUGCACCGGAAAAACUUAGCGGCGAACGGGUGAGUAACACGUAAAGAACCUGCCUCAUAGACUGGGACAACUAUUGGAAACGAUAGCUAAUACCGGAUAAUAGCAUUAACUGCAUGGUUGAUGUUUAAAAGUUGGUUUUGCUAACACUAUGAGAUGGCUUUGCGGUGCAUUAGCUAGUUGGUGGGGUAAAGGCCUACCGAGGCGACGAUGCAUAGCCGACCUGAGAGGGUGAUCGGCCACACUGGGACUGAGACACGGCCCAGACUCCUACGGGAGGCAGCAGUAGGGAAUCUUCCGCAAUGGGCGAAAGCCUGACGGAGCAACGCCGCGUGAGUGAAGAAGGAUUUCGGUUCGUAAAGCUCUGUUGUUAGGGAAGAAUGAUUGUGUAGUAACUAUACACAGUAGAGACGGUACCUAACCAGAAAGCCACGGCUAACUACGUG
rnacentral:rRNA from 1 species